rnacentral:rRNA from 1 species
UACGUAGGGGGCGAGCGUUGUCCGGAUUUACUGGGCGUAAAACGCUUGUAGGCGGCCACGCCAAGUCGGACGUGAAAUCUCCCGGCUUAACUGGGAGGGGUCGUUCGAUACUGGCGGGCUCGAGGCAGGUAGGGGGAAGCGGAAUUCCCGGUGUAGUGGUGGAAUGCGUAGAUAUCGGGAGGAACACCAGUGGCGAAGGCGGCUUCCUGGACCUGUUCUGACGCUGAGGAGCGAAAGCGUGGGGAGCAAGCCGG